rnacentral:rRNA from 1 species
GCGAACGGGUGAGUAACGCGUGAGGAACCUGCCUCAAAGAGGGGGACAACAGUUGGAAACGACUGCUAAUACCGCAUAAGCCCACGGCUCGGCAUCGAGCAGAGGGAAAAGGAGCAAUCCGCUUUGAGAUGGCCUCGCGUCCGAUUAGCUAGUUGGUGAGGUAAUGGCCCACCAAGGCGACGAUCGGUAGCCGGACUGAGAGGUUGAACGGCCACAUUGGGACUGAGACACGGCCCAGACUCCUACGGGAGGCAGCAGUGGGGAAUAUUGCACAAUGGGGGAAACCCUGAUGCAGCGACGCCGCGUGGAGGAAGAAGGUCUUCGGAUUGUAAACUCCUGUUGUUGAGGAAGAUAAUGACGGUACUCAACAAGGAAGUGACGGCUAACUACGUGCCAGCAGCCGCGGUAAAACGUAGGUCACAAGCGUUGUCCGGAAUUACUGGGUGUAAAGGGGGCGCAGGCGGGAGAACAAGUUGGAAGUGAAAUCCAUGGGCUCAACCCAUGAACUGCUUUCAAAACUGUUUUUCUUGAGUAGUGCAGAGGUAGGCGGAAUUCCCGGUGUAGCGGUGGAAUGCGUAGAUAUCGGGAGGAACACCAGUGGCGAAGGCGGCCUACUGGGCACCAACUGACGCUGAGGCUCGAAAGUGUGGGUAGCAAACAGGAUUAGAUACCCUGGUAGUCCACACCGUAAACGAUGAUUACUAGGUGUUGGAGGAUUGACCCCUUCAGUG